rnacentral:rRNA from 1 species
CCUACGGGUGGCAGCAGUGGGGGAUAUUGCACAAUGGGGGAAACCCUGAUGCAGCGACACCGCGUGGGUGAAGAAGCGCUUCGGCGUGUAAAGCCCUAUCAGUGGGGAAGAAAAAGGACGGUACCCAAAGAAGAAGCACCGGCUAAAUACGUGCCAGCAGCCGCGGUAAUACGUAUGGUGCAAGCGUUAUCCGGAAUGACUGGGUGUAAAGGGAGCGUAGACGGUUGUACAAGUCUGAUGUGAAAGCCCACGGCUCAACUGUGGGAGUGCAUUGGAAACUGUAGAACUAGAGUAUCGGAGAGGCAAGUGGAAUUCCUAGUGUAGCGGUGAAAUGCGUAGAUAUUAGGAGGAACACCAGUGGCGAAGGCGGCUUGCUGGACGAAAACUGACGUUGAGGCUCGAAAGCGUGGGGAGCAAACAGGAUUAGAUACCCCUGUAGUC